rnacentral:rRNA from 1 species
UAGGGAAUCUUCCGCAAUGGACGCAAGUCUGACGGAGCAACGCCGCGUGAGUGAAGAAGGUUUUCGGUUCGUAAAACUCUGUUGUUAGAGAAGAACAGCGCAUAGAGUAACUGUUAUGCGUGUGACGGUAUCUAACCAGAAAGCCACGGCUAACUACGUGCCAGCAGCCGCGGUAAUACGUAGGUGGCAAGCGUUAUCCGGAAUUAUUGGGCGUAAAGCGCGCGUAGGCGGUUUUUUAAGUCUGAUGUGAAAGCCCACGGCUCAACCGUGGAGGGUCAUUGGAAACUGGAAAACUUGAGUGCAGAAGAGGAAAGUGGAAUUCCAUGUGUAGCGGUGAAAUGCGCAGAGAUAUGGAGGAACACCAGUGGCGAAGGCGACUUUCUGGUCUGUAACUGACGCUGAUGUGCGAAAGCGUGGGGAUCAAACAGG